rnacentral:rRNA from 1 species
UACGUAGGGGGCGAGCGUUAUCCGGAAUUAUUGGGCGUAAAGAGUACGUAGGUGGUUUUGUAAGCGCGGGGUGAAAGGCAGUGGCUUAACCAUUGUUAGCCUUGCGAACUGCAAGACUUGAGUGCAGGAGAGGGAAGCGGAAUUCCUAGUGUAGCGGUGAAAUGCGUAGAUAUUAGGAGGAACACCAGUGGCGAAGGCGGCUUUCUGGACUGUAACUGACACUGAGGUACGAAAGCGUGGGGAGCAAA